UACGGGGGAUGCAAGCGUUAUCCGGAAUUAUUGGGCGUAAAGGGUCCUGAGGUGGCUAGCCAAGUCUAUUGUGAAAUAUCAGGGCUUAACCCUGAACAUGCGGUGGAAACUAGAAAGCUUGAGUACAGUAGGGGCGGAGGGAAUUUCCGGGUGGAGCGGUGAAAUGCAUAGGAUAUCGGGAAGAACACCAAACGGCGAAAGCACUCUACUGGGCCAUUACUGACACUGGAGAGACGAAAGCUAGGGGAGCGAAUGGGA
rnacentral:rRNA from 1 species